CCUACGGGGGGCGGCAGUGAGGAAUAUUGGACAAUGGAUGGAAAUCUGAUCCAGCCAUGCCGCGUGCAGGAAGACGGCCCUAUGGGUUGUAAACUGCUUUUAUACGGGAGCAAUAAGGUCUACGUGUAGACUGAUGAGAGUACCGUAUGAAUAAGCAUCGGCUAACUCCGUGCCGCAGCCCCGGUC
rnacentral:rRNA from 1 species